CCAUGAGUCAGCUCUCUCUCUCUCUCUCUCUCUUUCUCUCGUGUCGGUCCUCCUCUCGUCCCCUGCCUCAACUCCUCGCGACGGGCGCCGUCCACCGGAAACGCCGGUGUCCGACCGGCUGUUGGGAACGUCCGUUACGAGUCCUUUUCCGUCAUUCGUGUUCCCAUGUGUGUUUUCGAACGUUCUCAACCUUGUUCCCCACCUGUUCUCCUGGUAUCAAGACAUGGGUUUUUAGGGUGUGCUUUUUAAUGUGUGGAGAGCCUAUAUGCAAUAGGGUGUGUUAUUUUCAUUGUCAAUUUAUGUGUAUGUUGGGAACGUGAAAUAGUUUUUUUGUAGAAUUUGAGAAUGUGGACUAGUUGUAACUGUCAAGGAGUUAGCUGCAUUUUAACAUAAUCAACUACACCAAUGUAUUUGGAGGUAGGGGCCAUAGAAAGCAGUUGCACAUGAAUAAAAAAAUC
rnacentral:lncRNA from 1 species